rnacentral:tRNA from 1 species
GUCUACAUAGAUUAUUAAUAAAUCGUGAUGCUGUUAACUUCAAGAAGGGAUACGUCUCUGUAGUCG